rnacentral:siRNA from 1 species
AGCUUACGUCGUCGUUUUGGCGUU